rnacentral:rRNA from 1 species
UACAGAGGUCUCAAGCGUUGUUCGGAUGCAUUGGGCGUAAAGGGUGCGUAGGCGGCGCGGUAAGUCUGGUGUGAAAUCUCGGAGCUUAACUCCGAAACUGCAUUCGAUACUGCCGUGCUUGAGGACUGGAGAGGAGACUGGAAUUUACGGUGUAGCGGUGAAAUGCGUAGAUAUCGUAAGGAAGACCAGUGGCGAAGGCGGGUCUCUGGACAGUUCCUGACGCUGAGGCACGAAGGUCAGGGGAGCAAACGGG